rnacentral:rRNA from 1 species
CAUUAGCUUGACGGCGGGGUAACGGCCCACCGUGGCGACGAUGCGUAGGGGUUCUGAGAGGAAGGUCCCCCACACUGGUACUGAGACACGGACCAGACUCCUACGGGAGGCAGCAGUGAGGAAUAUUGGUCAAUGGGAGAGAUCCUGAACCAGCCAAGCCGCGUGAGGGAAGACGGCCCUAUGGGUUGUAAACCUCUUUUGUCGGAGAACAAAACCCGGGACGUGUCCCGGACUGCGUGUAUCCGAAGAAAAAGCAUCGGCUAACUCCGUGCCAGCAGCCGCGGUAAUACGGAGGAUGCGAGCGUUAUCCGGAUUUAUUGGGUUUAAAGGGUGCGUAGGCGGUCCGUUAAGUCAGCGGUAAAAUUGCGGGGCUCAACCCCGUCGAGCCGUUGAAACUGGCAGACUUGAGUUGGCGAGAAGUACGCGGAAUGCGCGGUGUAGCGGUGAAAUGCAUAGAUAUCGCGCAGAACUCCGAUUGCGAAGACAGCGUACCGGCGCCAGACUGACGCUGAGGCACGAAAGCGUGGGGAUCGAACAGGAUUAGAUACCCUGGUAGUCCACGCAGUAAACGAUGAAUGCUGGUUGUCCGGGUCGAAUGAGACCUGG